GAUGAACGCUGGCGGCGUGCCUAAUACAUGCAAGUCGAGCGAACAGAUGAGGAGCUUGCUCCUCUGACGUUAGCGGCGGACGGGUGAGUAACACGUGGAUAACCUACCUAUAAGACUGGGAUAACUUCGGGAAACCGGAGCUAAUACCGGAUAAUAUAUUGAACCGCAUGGUUCAAUAGUGAAAGACGGUUUUGCUGUCACUUAUAGAUGGAUCCGCGCCGCAUUAGCUAGUUGGUAAGGUAACGGCUUACCAAGGCAACGAUGCGUAGCCGACCUGAGAGGGUGAUCGGCCACACUGGAACUGAGACACGGUCCAGACUCCUACGGGAGGCAGCAGUAGGGAAUCUGCCGCAAUGGGCGAAAGCCUGACGGAGCAACGCCGCGUGAGUGAUGAAGGUCUUCGGAUCGUGAAACUCUGUUAUUAGGGAAGAACAAAUGUGUAAGUAACUAUGCACGUCUUGACGGUACCUGAUCAGGAAGCCACGGCUAACUACGUG
rnacentral:rRNA from 1 species